AUGUAUUCAGUUGACUGGCAGUUAAAUGUUGCUAAAAUGACCGUCACUCGUCCUAAAGUGAGCGUCCUGCCGCCCUCCAGUGCAGAGAUCUCCUCAAAGAAGACAGCGACACUGGUGUGUGUGGCCAGCAAGGGCUUCCCGUCAGACUGGAGCCUGAGCUGGAAGGUGGACGGGAGCAGCAGGUCUCAGGAGAGCAGCGCUGGGCUCCUGGAGAAGGACGGUCUGUACAGCUGGAGCAGCAGCCUGACUCUCUCUGAGCAGGAGUGGAUGGAGAGCGUCUCAGUGAGCUGUGAGGCCACACGGAGCGGUCAGCCUGCGCUCACUGGACACGUGACGAGACAGCAGUGUUCAGAGUAG